rnacentral:rRNA from 1 species
ACGCUGGCGGCACGCCUAACACAUGCAAGUCGAGCGCACCUUCGGGUGAGCGGCGGACGGGUUAGUAACGCGUGGGAACAUACCCAACACUACGGAAUAGCCUUUGGAAACGAAGAGUAAUACCGUAUACGCCCUUCGGGGGAAAGAUUUAUCGGUGAUGGAUUGGCCCGCGUUAGAUUAGUUAGUUGGUGGGGUAACGGCCUACCAAGACGACGAUCUAUAGCUGGUUUGAGAGGAUGAUCAGCAACACUGGGACUGAGACACGGCCCAGACUCCUACGGGAGGCAGCAGUGGGGAAUCUUAGACAAUGGGCGAAAGCCUGAUCUAGCGAUGCCGCGUGAGUGACGAAGGCCCUAGGGUUCGUAAAGCUCUUUCCCGCCAGGGAUGAUAAUGCACAGUACCUGGUAAAGAAACCCCGGCUAAUCUCCGUGCCAGCAGCCGCGGUAAUAACGGAGGGGGUUAAGCGUUUGUUCGGAAUUACUGGGGCGUAAAGCGCGCGUAGGCGGACUAUUAAGUCCAGGGGUGAAAUCCCGGGGGCUCAACCCCGGGAACUGCCUUUUGAUACUGGUAGUCUAGAGUUCGAAGAGAGGUGAGUGGAAUUCCCAAGUGUAGAGGUGAAAUUCGUAGAUAUUUGGAGGAACACCAGUGGCGAAGGCGGCUCACUGGCUCGAUACUGACGCUGAGGUGCGAAAGUGUGGGGAGCAAACAGGAUUAGAUACCCUGGUAGUCCACACCGUAAACGAUGAAUGCCAGACGUCGGGGGGCUUGCCCUUCGGUGUCACACCUAACGGAUUAAGCAUUCCGCCUGGGGAGUACGGUCGCAAGAUUAAAACUCAAAGGAAUUGACGGGGGCCCGCACAAGCGGUGGAGCAUGUGGGUUUAAUUCGAAGCAACGCGCAAGAACCUUACCAACCCCUUGACAUUCCUGGGACCCGCUAGAAGAAGAUCUAGGUUUUCACCUUCGGUGGACCCUCAGUGACAGGGUGCUUGCAUGGGCUGUCGUCACGCUCGUGUCGUGGAGAAUGUUCCGGUUAAAGUCCGGGCAACGAAGGSGCAACCCACAUCCUUAGUUGCCAGCAGUUCGGCUGGGCACUCUAGGGAAACUGCCCGUGAUAAGCGGGAGGAAGGUGUGGAUGACGUCAAGUCCUCAUGGCCCUUACGGGUUGGGCUACACACGUGCUACAAUGGUAACUACAGUGAGUUAAUCUCCAAAAGUUAUCUCAGUUCGGAUUGGGGUCUGCAACUCGACCCCAUGAAGUCGGAAUCGCUAGUAAUCGCGUAACAGCAUGACGCGGUGAAUACGUUCCCGGGCCUUGUACACACCGCCCGUCACACCAUGGGAGUUGGUUCUACCCGACGACGCUGCGCUAACCCUUCGGGGAGGCAGGCGGCCACGGUAGAUCAGCGACUGGGG